CCCGACUAGUACAAUGAUAACAUCACUGCCCCGCUCAGUGCGAACCUCUUCAAUCCACUUAGAAGUGUUCAGGAAUGACUGCCUGCUUGCAACAUCAUAAACAAUAACAGCCACUGAGGAAUCCCUAAUAUAGCUUGGAAUGAGGCUUCUGAACCUUUCCUGUCCAGCAGUGUCCCAGAGCUGCAAUCUAACAGUUCGAUCUUCAAGAUACAUUGUCUUUGAUAGAAAAUCGAUACCAAUAGUUGCCUGAUAGGUGUUGUCGAAUUUGUCGUACAUGAAGCGAGUGAUGAUACUAGUUUUGCCAACAGACUGAUCACCCAAGAACACCAGCUUGUACUUGGCCAGUGCCGAAACUGGAGCCAUUAGACGGAUCUAUCUCCGUAUCGAGAUCUCGCCUAGAUAGAUCGCGGAGAAUCGAGAUCGCCAAAUCGGAGUAUCCCCUCCGAUAUUCGGAUGUGUACUUAUUUUUUUGGAGAGGAAGAGGUGUUGACGGCUUUACGUAAGCUGACCUUG
rnacentral:misc_RNA from 1 species